ACUUAAAUUGAAGAGUUUGAUCAUGGCUCAGAUUGAACGCUGGCGGCAGGCCUAACACAUGCAAGUCGAGCGGUAGCACAGAGAGCUUGCUCUCGGGUGACGAGCGGCGGACGGGUGAGUAAUGUCUGGGAAACUGCCUGAUGGAGGGGGAUAACUACUGGAAACGGUAGCUAAUA
rnacentral:rRNA from 1 species